GGUGGCCUAGUGGUUAGAGCAUCCGCCUCAGAUGUGGGAGGUUGUGGGUUCAAUCCCCAGUAGAGUCA